AACAUUGAAAUCAAAUGUCUGUGAUUUAAGCAUCCAUUAUAGGAUCAAAAAAGGUAAACUAAGUAGAUGAAAUAUCACCUGAAACUGUCGAAUCAAUAUAUGAUAUCAAUUGCUUAUAUGAUAUCAGUAUUAUUUUGCUUAUAUGAUAUCAAUUGCUUCUUUAAUGUUGCAUAGGCUGAUGAGAGAGCUAUUUUGAAGCAUUUUAACUAGCUAGAAAGGAACGCUGAUGCAUUAAAAGAAGGUGCUUGCGAAUACAGAAUAAACUUAAAUAGGUAGAAGCUAAAGUUUCAUCUCAAAAGGAUGAUGCCUUCGGCACCACCGGCACCAACAUAAUUAUAUUCCACAUACACAGUGAAUAUAAUAUUAAUCUGCUGUACAUUCGAACAAGCCACAUUGUAGAAAAAUUUUGGAUGGUAUUAAAAAUAAUAUAUGCAUCAUAUCAGUACAA
rnacentral:lncRNA from 1 species